rnacentral:piRNA from 1 species
UACAUGAUAACCGCCAGUUGUGCCA